rnacentral:snoRNA from 1 species
CCUUUUCUGUGAUGACUCGCACUGGGCUCUGAAUAAAUCUGAAGACACGGUGCACCUCUGGCCCGACAAGCCUGAGUUUCUGAGAAGGAA